GGGCUGUGGUUAGGCACCGCCCGCCCAGCGGCGGUUGGGGCGGGAGAAGCAGCCGCGCUCCCCGCGGCCGUGGCAGGGCAGAUGAGGGGGGUCCGGGCGCAACCGUUGCCCGGCGGCUCCUGACCGCCCUUUCCGUGCCAUUGCUUUUCAGCUCGGGGCAGUGUGGUGAGGAGCGUGGUCGGGGGGGGAUCUCUCCCCCGGCGGGGCCGCGGCCAUGGACGAGCAGAGCGUGGAGAGCAUUGCUGAAGUAUUCCGAUGUUUUAUUUGUAUGGAGAAAUUGCGUGAUGCACGCCUGUGUCCUCAUUGCUCCAAGCUGUGCUGUUUCAGUUGUAUUCGGCGUUGGCUGACUGAACAAAGAGCUCAGUGCCCUCAUUGUAGAGCUCCACUGCAGCUACGAGAGCUUGUAAACUGUCGUUGGGCAGAAGAGGUCACACAGCAGCUGGAUACACUUCAACUCUGCAAUCUCACAAAGCAUGAAGAAAAUGAGAAAGACAAGUGUGAAAAUCAUCAUGAAAAACUUAGUGUUUUCUGCUGGACCUGUAAGAAGUGUAUCUGCCACCAGUGUGCGCUUUGGGGAGGAAUGCAUGGAGGACAUACUUUUAAACCACUGGCAGAAAUCUACGAGCAACAUGUCACAAAAGUCAAUGAAGAAGUCGUAAAGCUUAGGAGAAGACUCAUGGAAUUGAUCAGUUUGGUUCAAGAAGUGGAGAGGAAUGUGGAUGCAGUGCGUAGUGCGAAGGAUGAACGAGUUCGGGAAAUCAGGAAUGCAGUGGAGAUGAUGAUUGCCCGGUUAGACACUCAGCUGAAGAAUAAGCUUAUAACAUUGAUGGGUCAAAAGACAUCACUUACUCAAGAAACUGAACUUCUGGAAUCCCUGCUUCAAGAAGUAGAACAUCAGUUACGAUCGUGUAGUAAGAGUGAGUUGAUAUCCAAAAGUUCGGAGAUCCUGAUGAUGUUCCAGCAGGUUCAUCGGAAGCCUAUGGCCUCAUUUGUCACCACUCCUGUCCCCCCAGACUUCACAAGUGAAUUGGUUCCAGCCUAUGACUCAACUACAUUUGUCUUGGAAAACUUCAGUACGUUGCGUCAGCGAGCAGAUCCUGUUUACAGUCCACCUCUGCAAGUGUCAGGACUUUGCUGGAGAUUAAAAGUUUAUCCAGAUGGAAAUGGUGUAGUACGGGGCUACUACCUGUCUGUGUUCUUGGAGCUGUCUGCUGGAUUGCCAGAGACAUCCAAGUAUGAAUACCGUGUAGAAAUGGUUCACCAGUCCACCAACGAUCCCACCAAAAACAUAAUUCGAGAGUUUGCCUCUGAUUUUGAAGUUGGAGAAUGCUGGGGUUACAACAGGUUCUUUCGUUUAGACUUGCUAGCCAAUGAAGGAUAUUUAAACAGGCAAAAUGACACUGUGAUCCUCAGGUUCCAGGUGCGCUCGCCAACCUUCUUCCAGAAGUGCCGAGAUCAACACUGGUACAUUGCUCAGUUAGAAGCUGCUCAGACGAGUUAUAUCCAACAAAUAAAUAACCUUAAAGAAAGGCUUGCAAUUGAACUCUCACGGACCCAGAAAUCACGAGGCAUUUCACCUCCAGAUACUCAUCUUAGUCCCCAGAAUGACGAUGGUCCAGAAUCGAGAUCAAAGAAAUCUGGACAAAGCACUGAAGCACUACUUGAGAAUGUUGCUGCUCCACGAUUAGUGCAAGAUAGCAAGGAAGAGGAGGAAGAGAAGAUCCAGCAUGAAGACUUUAAUCAUGAGCUCUCUGAUGGUGACUUGGAUAUAGAUCUUGCUGGAGAGGAUGAGGUGAACCACCUUGAUGGCAGCAGCUCUUCAGCUAGUUCGACAGCAACUAGUAACACUGAAGAAAAUGAUAUCGAUGAAGAGACUAUGUCUGGAGAAAAUGAUGUGGAAUAUAGCAGUAAUAUGGAGUUGGAAGAAGGAGAUCUCAUGGAGGAUGCAGCAGCUGCUGCUACUCCUGGAGUAUCAGGUACUAGCCACAGCUACAUCAGUGCAAGUGGAAGACCUUCAAGGCGGGGAGGAAGUGCCCUAGGCUCAUCAGCCAGUAGCAGUUUACUAGAUAUAGAUCCCUUAAUUUUAAUCCACUUGCUGGAUCUAAAAGAUAGAAAUGGAAUGGAAAACCUCUGGGGCCUUCAGCCACGUCCACCUCCCUCUCUUCUGCAGAACAGAGCAUCAUCCUAUUCUCUGAAAGAUCGAGACCAGCGGAGACACCAGGCGAUGUGGCGCGUGCCCCCCGACUUGAAGAUGCUGAAAAGGCUCAAAACGCAGAUGGCUGAAGUUCGAAGCAAAAUGUCUGAUGUGAAAAACCAGCUGUCGGAAGUGAGAAGCAGCAACACUGGCUCAUGCGAUGGGCAGCCCAGCUUCUUCUCCAUUGAGCAAGGCGCUUUAGCUGCCUGCGGAACGGAAAGCUGCAGCAAGCUGCAAGAAAUAGGAAUGGAGCUACUGACUAAGUCUUCAGUUACCAGUUGUUACAUAAGGAAUUCUGCAAUUAAGAAAAGUAACUCACCCAAAACUAUUCGCUCUGGAGCAGCAGGCAGCCUGUCUUUACGGAGAGCUAUGGACUGUGUGGACAGCAAUCUUCGCUUAAAGGGAGACACUCAAACUUCUGAAGGUGGCGUAGGGAGCUCCAAGUUGAGUGGUCGGCACCACUCCACCAGGGCCCUGGCUAACAGCAGUGUCCCCGAGCCACUGCCGAAGACAGAGGAGAGGCCUUGUGAUGGCUCAGAUUCCGAUGUGGGAGUGUCUGGCUUAAAUGGCCUAGCUGCUGUAGAGAAGACCAGGAAAGCUGGUGCUCUAGGGUCAACUUCUAAAGGGUGUCGUACAGAAGGAGCCCAGUCAGGUGGUCUGGAAAACAGUUGUGACACGGGUGACCUACAAGCUGUGCUUCCCGAGGGGGCUUCUGCAGGGCCAGAAGAAGCAGUCAGUGACCUUGGCUUUUAAGCCUGCUGCCGUCAGGGACAACGCGUUGGUAACUACCUCCACGUCCGCACUAGAAUCUCUCCAACACUUCAUUCGUGUCGGGUGCUGUGGUACGUAAGCCAGUUUCCUUAGAGACUUGGAGGAAACUUUUCCCCCUCCCUUCCUGCAUCCUUUCCAUGCUGGAAAAAAAUAUUACUGCUUUUUUUUUUUUUUUUUCUUUUUUGAAAGUCCACACAGAAGAGUUUUUCUUAUCUUGCUAAAACUCUCCUGCCUUCCACCCCUGCACUAAUUUGAAUUUCAAUGACUGAAUUGUAGCGCAAAGCCUAUAUUAAGGUGCCAGCAUCCAUCUCUAGCUGCAGUGUGCAAUAUUGUGUAGGAGUUGGCAUUUACAGAAGGUCUCUCAGUGACAAAACUGAAUUUCUGCUCUUAGUCACUGCAGUGUGAUCGUGAUGCGCUCCCGCAGCUCUGCUAUAAUAGCAGAGAACCUAAUAGGAAAAUGUUUUAAGAACUGAAAUACUUCAUUGUUAAAAACCCCAGGAAACAAAUUUUACUUUUUUUUUUUUUCCCUUUCAGAGGAGAAACUACAGUAGAGCUGGUACCUCAACUCACUUGCUUUUUCUUAGCAAUGAGUAUCAGCUCUUAAGAAGUAAAAGAGCAGAGCAAACCCCUUCUGUCUCCCACAAAACUGCAAAAAGGAGCAUGUUGGCCUCUGCCAGUGUCCACUCAAGGUUUGGCAAAACAAAAGAAGCCACCUUGAUUAUCAACUGCUGUGGUUCUUUUUGUAGGAAAAGCAGGUUUUUUUGGGUCUGAGACUUGAGCAGAGUAUUGCUGCUUGAAGGAUGUGGUGGGUGGGUACAUCUGCUCCAUGGGUCAUGCUACCUCUAAACUGUUAAAAACCUGCUCUAGUGGAAGGUGUCCCUGCCUAUGGCAGGGGUUGGAACUCGAUGCGCUUUAAGGUCCCUUCCAACCCAAACCAGGCUGGGAUUCUGGGGAGGAAAAGGAAAAAAAAAAAGCAACUUUUAUUUUCUGUCCUCGUGGCAGAGGUGGGCAGAGCAGAGCAGCUGGCAGGGGAGCACAGCUCAGGCAGGAAGGGGCUGUGGGCAUCCAAGCCUGCCUCAGCUGGUGACAUGCUGGCACUGCUCCUCUUGUCCCAAACAGCAGAAUGAGGGCAUUUCUAAAGCUGGUACCAGCUGUUCUGUUCAGUACCUUAGUGUUUUGGUAAAUGCAUCUGGCUCUGAAUGUGCUCCUUCUCUCGUUCUCCUGCCAGCUCUUGGGAUUUGGUGUUGGUGACUCUCAUGUGAAGACAUUGAACGCUUCAGUCACAUAGGUCUUGCUGCCAUCAUUUUUGGCUUGUGGGUCUUUUUGGGUUUUUUCACAGCUGGGGUAUGUCAGAAGCAUGUCCUUCAUCUCCUACCAGGAAUGAGCAGUGACAGCGACAUUGAAUGUGACACAGAAAAUGAAGAGCAGGAAGAUGGUGCCUCUGUCUCAGUGGGGUUUAACCAGGCCUUCUCGGUCCAGUCCUCCAGCGAAGCCUCGGAGCAGUGCUCGGCAUUCCCAGAGGGUGACCAAGCUGGUCCUGGCAACCUCGGCUUUGCUACUGGAGAAGACAGCACCAGGUAGAGAACGCAUUCAGGGCCUGAAGACCUGCGGCUCGUGUCCCUGGGAAGAGGGGCGUUUAUUCGCUGGAGCUUAGCCCAAGGCUGUUAUUCGUGGCUGUGAGCACACUACGUUCUGUCCAGCACCCUCAUGUGGUUCUUCUACAGUUGUCUUAAGGCAGUUACUGGGGUGAAGUGACCUUUGGAGGCCUUACACUAAAGGCUGCAUUCCUGCUGGCUCUGCCAGCUCACAUGCUCUGAAAAAGUGCCCCAGAGGUGCUGAAGCCCCAUUUCAGGCUGCUGCUGUCCUGUUGCAUCGCUGGGAUAACCGUGAGUAUGUGACUGUCCUCACUUAAAACGGUGUGAGCAGGUUGUGCAAGGCUGCUGAAGCCAGCGGAUGUGACGGACGGAGUUGGGGUGAAGCAGCUGGUGUUUUCCUCAGUCAUGAUGUGGACCAACUGAACCCACCACCCUCUGCCACUGCGUGUUGCGUUCUGAGCUGCUAAACUACGUGUGACGCUAUGGUGAAAGCCAAAUGCCUGGUCAGUGACAAAGCAUGAGUAACUGUCACCAGUCCUUGUCCAUGUCUCCGCUGGCUGUACCGAUGUUCCUGUCUGAGUGUUCCACAGUGUAAGUAAGUGCUGUACAAUUCCUAGUUUAAAACUGUUUGCACUUUGUUAAUAAAAUGAAUGUUGAAAUCUGA